CCGACCCCCGCCUCCCGCCUCCCGCUCCCCGCUCCCCGGGACACCCUUACAGAGCCCAGCACCUCCUUCCCCUCCCGGGGUCUCCCGCUGGACUGCGCUGCGGUUUCUCUGCACAGCGCUUGUCGGGUGUGUUGAGCUGGAGGUCUUGGCGCAGCGACGGGCUUGGGUGGCCAUGUGUUCCCGUGUAGGUGGAGCUCGUAAACGCGAGAAAAAGCCGCGCCCUGGGUCAUUUAAUAGCCUCUUUGCUAGAACGAGACGCCUCCCGGCGUGCCCCCUCUCCAGGGCCAGCCCUGACGGGGAAACAUGAGCGCUCCAUCCGGAUUGACUUCAAGAGCAAGAGUUUGAGAUGGAAAAGCUGGCCACGCCGCUCGGGUUGGGAUGAGGUAAUCCUCACAACCUCUUCCUGGGCGAGGAGAGGAAGGUUGAGGAACACCUGGGCGCAGGAAGAACCUCCCUGCGAAGUGGAGGGUUCUGUGCGGUGCUCAGAGAACCUGCUUCAGGCCUUUGCCGUCCUUCAGGAAUCCGGGAGAACCCGAGAGCGCUCUGCAGAGGAGGUGGGGCCUCUGCCUGCCGCCAGCGUCGUACCACUGGGUUGAAAAUUGAAAGUUGCAGUAUGCAUGCUGCUGACCUUCCAUUCUCAGGGACAUCCAUCCCUCAAAGCACACCUAGGUGUGAUGGCACAGGAGUUGAACCUGGUGAGCUGGUUCAACCUGAUAAAGUGGAAAACGCUGAAGUAUGUGGAAAACAAGAAACAGGGAUAGAGAAGUAAAAACUACAUUUUCACACACACCACCCCAAGAUCGCCAAAUCACCAAAAUGUGUAUUUGAUAUGUAAUUAAAGUUAGACUUUCAGGCAAUUCCGUCUUACAUUUCUGUCUUAUAUUUCUGUCUUACAUUUUUCCUUUCUUCUCAACCACCCCUAAAGCGUCCUUACCGAAGAUACUUGUCUUCACUAAUACAGCUUUCUCUUCAGUUGUUUUCUCCAAUUGCUCCUAGUCUUGUCACUUAAACAUUUUUUUUUUUUGAGACAGACUCUCACUCUACCACCCAUGCUGGAGUGCAGUGGCACAAUCUCGGCUUACUGCAGCCCUUCCGGGUUCAAGUGAU
rnacentral:lncRNA from 10 species